AGGCAGGAGAAUGGCGUGAACCCGGGAGGCGGAGCUUGCAGUGAGCUGAGAUCCGGCCACUGCACUCCAGCCUGGGUGACAGAGCGAGACUCCAUCUCAAUAAAAAUAAAAAGAGUUGUUAUACCUCAGUGAUGUGGCAAGAGGAAUAAAAGCCCCCCCCACCUCAUUCAUGAGGAACUUCUUAGAAGCACGUGCUCUGGGCAAGAUGCCCCACUAGUCUGGGAUUUCUCCUGAUGCUGCCAGAAACCAACCUAGUACAUGUUUCUGGUUCUCCCCAACAUCUCCCACAUUCAAGCUUCUACUUAGACCUUCAGUACCAUUUCUUCCCAUUUUCUGCCUAUGAGUUAUCUACCCUGCAAGGACUAAAGCAGGCCUGCACUACCCCAGAGCUCUAUUUGAAAGAAACUUCUUUUCUCUCCAUAUUCACAGCACAUUCACUGCCUUUCUCCCUGGUAUUUGUGUAACUUUGUUUGGAUUAUUGUUAGUUAUUUGCACGGUUGUUUAUUAUCAGGGGAAGUCCCUGACUUAUCUCCAUACCCACCUCUGGUCAGUAAGUAUUUGUAGAAGUCCAUUAUCUGAUUAGAUUAAGAGAAGAGGCAGAGCUGUCUGGAAGCAAUGAGCAACUAAAACUAGAUGGGGAAAUACAAGUUGAUAAUAAGGUGAGGAAUAUUUUGGCUAUAGCCCAAAGAGGCCCAGACUGAAGAAAUAAACCUGUAAUUUCAGCACUUUUGUCCAGAGCAGUUCAGGCUUCUUUUCUCAGGACUGGAUCAGAGAGAAACUGCUGGCCGAUGCUGUGGCUCUUACUCAGAUCUAAGGGCAGCAUGUUGCCUAAACUAGUAAAUUAUUUUAUUGGACUAAAUUGUAACUGUGUUUCAGUCCUUAAGAAUGGGGACACCAAACAUGCUAUGUGGUACAUUUUUUCUGUGUUACUAUUGAGGUUUGAAUUGUUAUUCCUGACAUUGACAACUUACAGUUUAUAAUACUGAGGUGUUAUUUAGGAAAACAAAUGGGCCUGCAGAUUUUGAUGUAAAUGCAACUGUAUGUGUCUGUUGUGAAAGCCACCAGCAGACUUGCAUGGUUGAUUGUAGUAUCAGGGUGUCCAGUCACCCAUCUCAAAACCCAGAGUAUUACAUAUCUAGCUUAAUUGGUAGGUUUUAAGACAAAAGGAGCUGAGGCUCAUCACAGCAAAACAACAGGUAGUCCCUAGGAAGUCACGAGGGAAUGAGCUUGAAUAAAUUUGUUACCUUGUUGGUUGGCAGACGUACUUGGAGUGUGUAUCUUAAGCUGUUGGUUUUUCAUGGGCAUCUUUCUGUUUUGAGCAAAGGCGGCUUCAAUGAUCCAUCCUAAAGAGGUGCCCCCUGAGGCCAUCUUGCUGGCAGUCUACCUUGAGCUGCAGAAUGGUAAUACUCAGCUGGCCUUACAGAUCAUCAAAAGGAAUCAGCUGCUCCCUGCAGUGAAAACACACUCUGAAGUGAGAAAGAAGCCAGUGUUUCAGCCUGUCCACCCGAUCCAGCCCAUCCAAAUGCCGGCUUUCACCACUGUGCAGAGAAAGUGAUACUUCGCUUUUGGAAAACUGUUACCUGAGACCCAGGGGAGUAUUUACUGGCCAUUUUACUUGUAUCACAGCAGAAUGAAUAAAAGAUGGUGAAGGCUGUUAAUUUUGAGACGGUUCUACCCCUGACUUUUUGCCAAAAGCUUACUUAAAAUUAAGGAUUUACUAAGUCAUCAUCAGCUGUUUUUCUUAAUUUCAGCCAGACUAUUAAUUUUGAGACAUUAUGUAAUAUAUGCCAUAGGCAAUUAAAACAUAAUUUUAUCAGAA